rnacentral:lncRNA from 1 species
ACUAUAUAUUGUCAUGCAUGAACGGUAUUCCGAUUAGUUUGUUUUGAAUUUGAAAUAAUUCUAUAUUAUCAUGUCUCGUGUCACGACAUUUCUUUUUGUCCUCGCAAUUUGCGUAGCAAUUGUCAUCUGCUCACCCACUUGUGGUCCAAAUCAGAUUAGUGUCAAAUGUAAAAACACCUGUCCUGUAACUUGUGCAACUUACCCCAAUCGCACAAAACUCUGUCCUCGUGUAAAUAAAUUUUUAUUUUAAUUCAAUUAUAAAUGUUUUUCAUGCGAAUUUAAUUAUUUUUUGUUAUUUAAUUUAUUCGAUUAUUUUUAAUUGUAGAUUUGCAUAGCAGGAUGUGAUUGCGUGGAAGGAUAUGUAUUAGACACUGUUAAUAAUAAGUGCGUCUUACCCGAUUGUUGUUAA